UAGGACUCCUCCUUGGUAGCCGAGUACUCCCGGUCAAAACAUUUCUUAGGCCUAGUAAAAGAGGGGAAAGCUAUGGCUAAGCUAUGAUAACGCGCACCUAUUCUCGUUAAUGGCGCAUAGAAUUGUUAAGGAACUUGUGAUUUUAGCACUCUCAAUUCCAGUAAAUUAAGUAGCAAUCGAUCGUAAUCACAUCUGUAGUAAGCCAGUACUAUAAAGUGAGAUACUUGGUCUUUUUGGUCUUCUUUGAAGGAGAAUUAUCCGAUUUAUUUAGAAAGCACUCUUGGUUCAUGUUUCUUCUAUUUAAAAUUUGACUUUAUUGAGAAGGGUUAUUGAUGGCCUAAUGACUGCUUUUUUUCUUUAAUAUUGAAGAGUUUGAUCAGAUAUGGUGCGCAUUGCAAAUCACUUUUUUAAGGUCAGCGAUUUGCCAGCGGGCCUUUUACCGUCAACUUCAGGCAUACCCAUUCAAAUUUUUGGAACAGUUAUUGAUUCAAUUUUUAUUGACGUCCUUUUCCUCCAAAGUUCCGGCUUUGAAAAACAAUAACUAGCCUUACAAAAAUUUUGGUGCUGACAAGAUGAACUCUUACAGUACCCUUCUGAAUUGCUUCAGACCUUACGAGAGUGGUUAUCAUCCGCACACCUCGGGAAGCCUACUACCGGGUAAUAAUUAUGGCUACACCAUGGUUUCAGGGAAACCGGCUAGUGCUGCGGGAAAGAGAAAAAAUUUAAAAUGUUCUUAAGCGGCUGGAGCAUUUUUGAGAUGAAUGUUUAGAAGGCUGCCUUCUACUAUUCUCAAACGUCAGUUCUUCGAGAAAAGGGUACUAAUGUGCAUUCCCUCCCCGGUCUGUUUCUGAGUGUGCCUGUGUUCAAUUCGGAGAGACCUGGAAUUACCAUUUCUUCCUGAAGAUUUAAAGAUCAACUAUUUAGAAAUACCGCAAACCCUUAAUUAACA